GUACGCUGGCGGCACGCCUAACACAUGCAAGUCGAACGAAGUAGCAAUACUUAGUGGCAGACGGGUGAGUAACAUGUAGGUAUCUACCCUAUGGUUUGGAAUAACACGAGGAAACUUGUGCUAAUACCAAAUAAGUCUUUACGGAGAAAGCUUUAUGCGCCAUUGGAUGAGCCUGCACUUGAUUAGUUUGUUGGUGGGGUAAUGGCCUACCAAGACAAUGAUCAAUAGCUGAUUUGAGAGGAUGAUCAGCCACAUUGGGACUGAGACACGGCCCAAACUCCUACGGGAGGCAGCAGUGGGGAAUCUUGCACAAUGGGGGAAACCCUGAUGCAGCGAUGCCGCGUGAGUGAAGAAGGCCUUUGGGUUGUAAAGCUCUUUCGUCGGGGAAGAAAAUGACUGUACCCGAAUAAGAAGGUCCGGCUAACUUCG
rnacentral:rRNA from 1 species